GACGAACGCUGGCGGCGUGCCUAAUACAUGCAAGUAGAGCGCUGAAGAGAGGAGCUUGCUCUUCUUGGAUGAGUUGCGAACGGGUGAGUAACGCGUAGGUAACCUGCCUUGUAGCGGGGGAUAACUAUUGGAAACGAUAGCUAAUACCGCAUAACAAUGGAUGACACAUGUCAUUUAUUUGAAAGGGGCAAUUGCUCCACUACAAGAUGGACCUGCGUUGUAUUAGCUAGUAGGUGAGGCAAUGGCUCACCUAGGCGACGAUACAUAGCCGACCUGAGAGGGUGAUAGGCCACACUGGGACUGAGACACGGCCCAGACUCCUACGGGAGGCAGCAGUAGGGAAUCUUCGGCAAUGGGGGCAACCCUGACCGAGCAACGCCGCGUGAGUGAAGAAGGUUGUCGGAUCGUAAAGCUCUGUUGUAAGUCAAGAACGGGUGUGAGAGUGGAAAGUUCACACUGUGACGGUAGCUUACCAGAAAGGGACGGCUAACUACGUG
rnacentral:rRNA from 1 species